AUGGAGAUGGGUGUAACCACAAGAUGGAACAGCCUGGGUGUCAGGCGUGCUUGGAAGGGAGUUGUUGGGAAGAGCCCCAGUACCUGCAGCCAACUUUGUGUGUCCACACCCUUGUCAAAAGGUGAGAAAUCUUUUGUCAUUGGUGAGAUGAUUCCAAGACAAGGCGCCAGCCAGUUUGUCUACCUGGAGCAUUCCCUGGAAACAGACCCAGUUCAUUCUCCUGUAUGAACAAAACAGUAUUGCUAUGUAGCCCUCCUGAGAAAGUUGUGCAGAGAAGUGUACCUGCUUUUCUACAACCUCACCAACUCAGAUGUGUCAUCAAACUUUUUGAUAUUUACCUAAUGGUAAAAGAUGAAAAUGAUAUUGCAUUACUUAAAAUUGUAUUUUCCUCAUUAUGAUGAAGCUAAGCAUCUUUUCUUUUCAUUUUAUUUACUUUUUGGGAAGAUUUUAUUUUUUUAAGUAAUCUCUACACUCAAUAUGGGGCUUGAACUCACAACCCUGAAGUCAAGAAUUGCAUACUUUACCAAAUAAGCCAGCCAGCUGCCCCAACAUCUUUUCAUUGGUAUAAGAUUUAUUUAAAUGUCCUUUCCUGGGAACUAUCCAUACUUUAUUUUUUGGCCCCUUUUUCUCUUGUGGGUUGGUCAUCUUCAUAUCAAGUAAAGACUCUUGGCAUAUUAGGAAAUUAGGCCUUGUCUGAUAUAUAAAUUCCAAAAAUUGGGGAGCUUGAUGUCCAUGAAAUAAAGAUUGCAUUUCCUACA
rnacentral:lncRNA from 12 species